GCCCGAAUAGCUCAGUUGGCAGAGCGACGCUCUCGUAAAGCGUAGGUCGCGAGUUCAAUUCUCGCUUCGGGCU
rnacentral:tRNA from 1 species